GAUAAGGUUAAGUGAAUAAGGGCGCACGGUGGAUGCCUUGGCACUAGGAGCCGAUGAAGGACGGGACUAACACCGAUAUGCUUUGGGGAGCUGUAAGUAAGCUAUGAUCCAGAGAUUUCCGAAUGGGGGAACCCAAUAUCUUUUAUAGGAUAUUACUUUUCAGUGAAUACAUAGCUGAUUAGAGGUAGACGCAGAGAACUGAAACAUCUUAGUACCUGCAGGAAGAGAAAGAAAAUUCGAUUCCCUGAGUAGCGGCGAGCGAAACGGGAAGAGCCCAAACCAACAAGCUUGCUUGUUGGGGUUGUAGGACUCCAAUAUGGUAGUCUGUUAGUAUAGUUGAAGGAUUUGGAAAAUUCCGCUAAAGAGGGUGAAAGCCCCGUAGACGAAAUGCUAGCAACACCUAGGAGGAUCCUGAGUACGGCGGAACACGAGAAAUUCCGUCGGAAUCCGCGGGGACCAUCCCGCAAGGCUAAAUACUCCCUAGUGACCGAUAGUGAACCAGUACCGUGAGGGA
rnacentral:rRNA from 1 species